AGUAAUGUCUGGGAAACUGCCUGAUGGAGGGGGAUAACUGCUGGAAACGGUAGCUAAUACCGCAUAACGUCGCAAGACCAAAGAGGGGGACCUUCGGGCCUCUUGCCAUCGGAUGUGCCCAGAUGGGAUUAGCUAGUAGGUGGGGUAACGGCUCACCUAGGCGACGAUCCCUAGCUGGUCUGAGAGGAUGACCAGCCACACUGGAGCUGAGACACGGUCCAG
rnacentral:rRNA from 1 species